rnacentral:rRNA from 1 species
GCCAGACUCCUACGGGAGGCAGCAGUGGGGAAUUUUGGACAAUGGGCGCAAGCCUGAUCCAGCUAUUCCGCGUGUGGGAUGACGGCCCUAUGGGUUGUAAACCUCUUUUGCCAGGGAGCAAAGUGCCGCACGUGUGCGGUUUGGAGAGUACCCGGAGAAAAAGCAUCGGCUAACUCCGUGCCAGCAGCCGCGGUAAUACGGAGGAUGCGAGCGUUAUCCGGAUUUAUUGGGUUUAAAGGGUGCGUAGGCGGACGCUUAAGUCAGCGGUAAAAUUGCGGGGCUCAACCUCGUCGAGCCGUUGAAACUGGGCGCCUUGAGUGGGCGAGAAGUACGCGGAAUGCGUGGUGUAGCGGUGAAAUGCAUAGAUAUCACGCAGAACUCCGAUUGCGAAGGCAGCGUACCGGCGCCCAACUGACGCUGAAGCACGAAGGCGUGGGUAUCGAACAGGAUUAGAUACCCGUGUA